GGGGAUGUUCUGGUUUCGACAUGUAUUCUUGGGCAUAGAUUGCAGUGGAGUUGUGACCUAAUCACUUUAAACAAUAUCUGGCAACAGAAAUUACAAUUACGCAUUUGCUGCUUAGUUCAGUUCUCUAAUAUUUGAGAUAGCGUGGGGCGUUAGCUAUUUUCUCUUAGUAGUUAAUUGCUUCUUAUAAUUAAGAGAUAUUAUUUAUUUGAUGAUUAUAUUAUAGAUAAGAAAGAAAUAAUCUAGUGGUGUAAAGUUUGUAAGUAUUGAUAAGCCAUGAAAUUUAAAUACUUGCUAAACUGUAGUGGUCUAUGUAGGGGGUAUGUGGACCGGAGUUCGACUCUCCGCAUCUCCACCA
rnacentral:tmRNA from 1 species